GACGUAGGGCGCGAGCGUUGUCCGGAUUUAUUGGGCGUAAAGAGCUCGUAGGCGGCUUGUCGCGUCGUCCGUGAAAACCUGCGGCUCAACUGCAGGCUGGCGGUCGAUACGGGCAGGCUGGAGUUCGGUAGGGGAGACUGGAAUUCCUGGUGUAGCGGUGAAAUGCGCAGAUAUCAGGAGGAACACCGGUGGCGAAGGCGGGUCUCUGGGCCGA
rnacentral:rRNA from 1 species